GCAAUACGGGAGCGGCAGACGGGAGAGUAACACGUGGGAACGUACCCUUCGGUUCGGAAUAACCCAGGGAAACUUGGGCUAAUACCGGAUACGUCCGUAAGGAGAAAGAUUUAUCGCCGAGGGAUCGGCCCGCGUCCGAUUAGCUAGUUGGUGGGGUAAUGGCCCACCAAGGCGACGAUCGGUAGCUGGUCUGAGAGGAUGAUCAGCCUCACUGGGACUGAGACACGGCCCAGACUCCUACGGGAGGCAGCAGUGGGGAAUAUUGGACAAUGGGGGCAACCCUGAUCCAGCCAUGCCGCGUGAGUGAAGAAGGCCUUAGGG
rnacentral:rRNA from 1 species